rnacentral:rRNA from 1 species
UACGGAGGGUGCAAGCGUUAUCCGGAAUGAUUGGGCGUAAAGCGUCCGCAGGUGGCUAUGUAAGUCUGCUGUUAAAGAGUGAGGCUCAACCUCAUAAGAGCAGUGGAAACUACAUGGCUAGAGUGCGUUCGGGGCAGAGGGAAUUCCUGGUGUAGCGGUGAAAUGCGUAGAUAUCAGGAAGAACACCGGUGGCGAAAGCGCUCUGCUAGGCCGCAACUGACACUGAGGGACGAAAGCUAGGGGAGCGAAUGGG